CCUUGCUCUAAAAUUCCAUCUCAUUGUUGCACAAUCAAGCUAGAGGAGGUCCAGGGGCUCGAUCGGUUAGGCGGGGCAUAGCUCUUCAAGGCAGUCUUUAGCCAUAAAGGACUAGACGCAAUUAGGGCGUCUGUAUUGUCACACGAGAUUUCCAUUACCCACUCGUCGAGCAAAAUGCCCAAAAGCACAAAGACACAGUUUUUGCAUAAUAAUUUGAAGAAUUUGCAGGUUACAUGAAUC
rnacentral:misc_RNA from 1 species